rnacentral:rRNA from 1 species
AUUGAACGCUGGCGGCAGGCCUAACACAUGCAAGUCGACCGAGUGGCGGACGGGUGAGUAAUGUAUGGGAAAAAGACAGAUGGAGGGGGAUAACUAAUGGAAACGGUAGAUAAUACCGCAUACCCUCGGCUGAGCCCAGAUGGGAUUAGCUAGUAGGUGGGGUAAUGGCGCACCUAGGCGACGAUCCCUAACUGGUCUGAGAGGAUGACCAGCCACACUGGAACGGAGACACGGUCCAGACGCCUACGGUAGGCAGCAGUGGGGAAUAUUGCACAAUGGGCGCAAGCCUGAUGCAGCCAUGCCGCGUGUAUGAAGAAGGCCUUCGGGUUGUAAAGUACUUUCAGCGAGGAGGCGUUACUCGCAGAAGAAGCACCGGCGAACUCCGUGCCAGCAGCCGCGGUAAUAC